AGUGGCAUCCUCAUGCAAGCUGGUCUACUGGUGGCUGCCCCACUGACCUGCUUCUGAAUGGACAGGCAGGAAAGGUCUCCCACUGUGUUGCAUUUAAAGAAAAGAAAAAGAUGAAUGAAGUAAAAAACUCUGCAAACAACUGAGUGUAAUUAUUGGAAAUGAAAAGUUGUCCUGGCCCCUAGAAGGGUUGCUGGCUGUCAACCCUGGUUCUAUGAUGCAUGUGUAGUGUGGAGAUUCAACUAAAUGGAUCAUCUAUGGCAAGAGGCUUCAAGAAAAGCAUGAAGAAAAUGCACUUCUGGCCACAAGCAUAUUUCUGUACACCUGAGUUCUCCUGAAAUUUGAGACACAACACAGUACCUCACGCACUACUGAAGUCCACAGAUUUUGGGAAACAUCAACCAGUAUACGGCAAAAUGAGAAUCUGCUUAUAUUUCAAGAAGAUUGUCCUGGAAAGUGAUAUUAUAUGAAUCAUCACAUGUUAAAAUAACCUUGUCUGGGCCAACUUGCUUUGCUACUCUAUUGCAAUUUGAGUCAAUGAAUUAUAGUGGCUUGCACCAUUCCCUCUAAAUAUUAGAACUCGCAUAACUAGACAGGCCAAUGUUCAGACACAACAAUCGACAGCAGCAUUUCUGUAGUUAGAAAAAUCUGAUGGAUAAAGUGAUGUCUUUGUUCGAGUUAAGCAGAACCGCUUAAGAAGGAAAUAUCCUAAGGGCAAAGCUUCAAAGGCAAUGGAACACAGAGAGGAGAGUAAGUGGCAUCAAAGAGGGAUGCUGAUUUACUUUAAAACUGUGCACAGAUUCCCCUAGAGCUAGCUGACUCAUUACAGUACCUCCAGAACAAAGAUGAAGGUGAAAACAACUGACAUUGUUGCCAAAGGUACGGUCACCGGGUCCUCGACGUCCCACUGCAACAGAAACAGCGCACGAGUCAUUGCCCACAUCCAUCAGACACAUACAGGCUUGCCCCUCUUCUGCCCACUUUGCCAUGACAGUGAAUCUUAAUUUUUAUACCCAAGAACAUAACUGUGAAUGCAUAUAGCAGCUUGUGAUACUCUCGGAUGUAGCAGUGAAUACACAAUUCAUUCCCGGAGCCUUAGGGUGAAACUAAGUACCUUGACAGAGAGCAACACCGACUGGGCCAGGACGAGCAAUGCAAUUGUCCUCUUAAAAAAUGGAUGCUGGGUUAUGUCAUACAUUUUAGCUCUAAAACCAUCAUUAUCUAGAAAAGAAAGGUUUGGGCAAGGGCAUGUUAGACACAGGUCACAUUUACUUUCUUGCCAUUUAUUUUCUUAAAUGCUUAUCUUAAAACCCAUUACAUUUUCCUCCCCAAACAAUUCCAUCUAUUGUGAGGUGUUUUUGCAGCAAUGGCUGGCUCUGAAUAUUUAAAAUGACAGUGCAUGACGCCGUCUAUAUUGGAAAGAGAAGUGCAUCAUUCAAUUUCUGUCAGUUUAAUACAUUUCACUCAUAUUUUUAAAAGGCAAGCACAAAUAUAUUUUAUUUAAAAAAUUCAUUUUUUCAUUAAGGCUUAGUCUGAGAGCACUGAAGCACAGCUUUUGGGUGGUUGCUUUUAAUAGCCUUAUUGAGAGAUCUGUGGUUUGGAGGCUGUUUCCGUAUUAACUUAUGCACAGCCUCCCAGCGGCCUCACGAUUAUUAUUUUAAUUUAAAUCUGAGACUCCUGGGGAAUCGUGCACACUAGUGCCCAACAUGAAUAAAAUCAGAACAUCUUGGGUACCCGGGCGAGGCGGGAGAUGAAGAGGCUGUGCGAUCUUCAGUCGGCUCUUCAGGUCUUCCCAUCUUCUCUGAUCGACGGUCAGCAAAGCUGUUCCCUUAACAGACAAAGGAAAGCAGGAAACGGCCUUUUGUCAUGUGCUUGCACCAAGAACAUGGCAGAUGGGGUGCAGAGACAAACAAGACUGAUGUGGGGGUUGCGCUGACCAUGUUCUUCCAACCGUGGUGGUUAGAAAACAUGGUCAGAAUGCUCAAAGUUGGUCUUGGGAAGAGUUCCCAAAAUGAUGACCAGGUGUUUCAGAGAGAAUUCAGCAGCCUUCAACUUGUAUCUUUGGAGAUAUGUAAUAUUCAGGUUUGGGAAAAUAUAAAAAGGAGUUUCUACAUAAUUACAUUUUCAAAAAAGGACACUCACUCAUAGUAGUUAGUUUCCUUUCAUUUCAUAGCAGCAAAAUUAUAGCUUGUCAAUGCUAUGGCUUCUAGUUAAGGGUAUUUUGUCUUUAAAAAAUGUCUAAUAUGUGUAAUUGCAAAACUGUUUCUGAGAGAUACUAAGUCACAGAGUUUGCAUUUCAAGAAAUUAGUGCUGUGAUGCCUAAAUGGAAUUCCAUAUUCUAUAUAAUGGAGUACUUGAUUAAAAUGCAUAUGAUAAAAUUAUAUUUUAUUGCACUGCAGUGCAUCAUAUUUUAUCAUAACGGCAGAAGUGUAAUUUUAAAAACUAGACAAAAACCCCACUCUCCCUUUUCUUACCCAGAGCUAACCACUACUCUUCAGGUGUGCAUCCUCCUUACUAUGUUUUCAGACUUUCGUGCUUAUGUAUGUAUCAAUACAUAAGAAUUUGUUUUGAAUUUUUUAAUAUUAUAGAAAUGCUGUCCAAUAUGUGAUUAUUUAUGCUGUUUCUUUAUACUUUCAUUCAACAGUAUACUUUCCAUACAACUAGAUUACUAGAUCUAACUUGUUCAACUGCUCACAAACACUGUCCACUGUACAAAUAUCAUAAUUUAUUCAUUUUACAUUUAUGGACUAUAACCAGUUCUGCAAUAAGCAUCCAUGUACUGUCUCACAGUAAAUAUCUAUGAGGGUUUCUCCAUUGUAAAUCUCUAGGAGAAGAAUUGAUGGGAUCUAGGAAUUUAAACAUCUUUACAUUUACCAGAUGUUGCCAACUUGCUUUCCAAAGAGCGAUAACCAAAACAAAUCUCCUACCAGCAAUAUAGAAGUGUUACCAUAUCUUAAUAUUCUUGCAAUACUGGAUAUUACUAGACAUUGUAAUCUGACCACUUUGAUAGGUGUGAAAUGUAUCUAAUGUUGUUUUAAUAUUAACGAGAUGAAACAUUUGUAUGUGUGUAAAUGGUGAUGCUUGUAUCUUCCUAUGUGAAUUGCCUAUUCAUAUCCUUUGCUCAUUUCUGUAUUUUGAUAUUUACUUUUUAAUUGUUUGUAGAGAUUCUUUAUAAAUGCUGGAUACUAAUCUUUUGUCAAUUAUAUAAGUUGUAAAUAUUUUCUCUUAGUCUUGGCUUGUAUUUUUAUUUUGCUUAGAGUGUCUUUUGUCAUUCAGAAAAUUUUAAUUUAAAUAUAAUAGAGUUUAUAAUUUUUUUUCCUUUGUAGAUUUUACUUGGUGGCUAAUGCGAUGAAAUCCAUAAUGACUCCAGGAUAAAAAACAAAUGCUUACUAGGGGUGGGGAGGGGAACUAGAAUAGGGAUAGUCAAAUGUUGAUUAACAGAUACGAAAAUUCAGUUAGAUUGCAGGAAUAAGUUUUAGUGUUCCAUGGUAAUAUAGGGGGUGAAUCUAAUUGAUAACAAUUAAUUGUGUAUUUUUAAAUACCUAGAAGAGAGGAUUUUGAAUGUUCCCAACACAAAACAGGGAUAAAUGUUUGAGGUGAUGGAUAUGCUAAUUAUCCUGAUUUGAUCAUUACACACUAUAAUACAUGAAUUGAAAUAUCACACUGUACCCCAUAAAUAUGUACAAUAACUAUGUGUUGAUUAAAAAUAAUAAUAAAAGCAAAAACAUUAUUUGCUGCUUAUCUGAAAUUCAAAUAAAAAUAAAUGCUGACAUGGUU